CGGGGUGUGGCCCAGCUUGGUAGGGCGCCUGACUGGGGGUCAGGAGGUCGCAAGUUCAAGUCUUGUCACUCCGA
rnacentral:tRNA from 1 species